GAAAGUUUAGUUAAACUAUAACAUUAGCUUGUCAAGCUAAAAUCAUUCUAAUAAAUAACUUUCC
rnacentral:tRNA from 1 species